GAUGAACGCUAGCUACAGGCUUAACACAUGCAAGUCGCGGGGCAGCAUGGGGGUUGCUUGCACUCCCCGAUGGCGACCGGCGCACGGGUGAGUAACGCGUAUCCAACCUGCCCUUCACCACGGGAUAACCCGGCGAAAGUCGGACUAAUACCGUAUGUUGUCCAUUGACGGCAUCCGAUUUGGACGAAAGGCUUGGCGGUGAUGGAUGGGGAUGCGUCCGAUUAGCCAGACGGCGGGGUAACGGCCCACCGUGGCUACGAUCGGUAGGGGUUCUGAGAGGAAGGUCCCCCACACUGGAACUGAGACACGGUCCAGACUCCUACGGGAGGCAGCAGUGAGGAAUAUUGGUCAAUGGGCGUAAGCCUGAACCAGCCAAGUAGCGUGCAGGAUGACGGCCCUAUGGGUUGUAAACUGCUUUUAUGCGGGGAUAAAGUGGCCCACGUGUGGGCUUUUGCAGGUACCGCAUGAAUAAGGACCGGCUAAUUCCGUG
rnacentral:rRNA from 1 species